AACGAACGCUGGCGGCAUGCCUAACACAUGCAAGUCGAACGAGACCUUCGGGUCUAGUGGCGCACGGGUGCGUAACGCGUGGGAACCUGCCCUUAGGUUCGGAAUAACUCCCCGAAAGGGGUGCUAAUACCGGAUAAUUUCUUCGGACCAAAGAUUUAUCGCCUUUGGAUGGGCCCGCGUUGGAUUAGCUAGUUGGUAGGGUAAAAGCCUACCAAGGCGACGAUCCAUAGCUGGUCUGAGAGGAUGAUCAGCCACACUGGGACUGAGACUCGGCCCAGACUCCUACGGGAGGCAGCAGUGGGGAAUAUUGGAAAAUGGGCGAAAGCAUGAUCCAGCAAUGCCGCGUGAGUGAUGAAGGCCUUAGGGUUGUAAAGCUCUUUUACCCGGGAUGAUAAUGACAGUACCGGGAGAAUAAGCACCGGCUAACUCCGUG
rnacentral:rRNA from 1 species